CAAUCUUAUUUCCUCUUGGGAGAUUAAUUGUAAGACUAGACCAUACCACCUGUUUUUGGCCAGUGUAGGCAGGUUUUAGCUUGCCAGGCGGUGCCACUAAAUUCGAAGAGGAAAGAUAUAUAAUCGUACGGUGUGCAUGAAGAAAAUUUUAGAAAUAUCUAGUAUCUACGUAAUCGUCGUGACCAAGUGAUUACCAAAAAUAUUUAAAUUUAUUGCAGGUAAUAUUUAUCUCUAAACAUGCCAAAAAUAAAAAUGAAGACUAAACGACAUUUCAAUCGAAAGAUAGCUGACAAUGUAGAAGCUUCGAUGGCUUUAAUUGAGUUACAAAGCCAAAUUAACUCACUUGAAUCGACCGAAAGUACUUGUUCAAGCAACAAAGGGAUGAAUAUCAGUGAAGACAUAAAUAAUGUGAAUAUUGAUACACGGCAUGGCUUUCAGUCAACCAAUGUAUCAUUAAAUAAAGAGGUUAUUUUUUAAAGAAAAUUAUUGAUUUUUCUGUAAGAGAUCUUUAAUAUCAAUUAUUUUUAUACAUGGAUUAAGUUUCAUUUUAUAAACUCCAUAUGAUUGAUGCAACUUAUCUUAAAUAUGGAAUGGUGCGUUUGCCAUUUUGUAAUAGAUAACUCUGUAGAAGUUAUCCCAAAGAAGUGGAUAAUUAAUGAAAGCCAAUGUGUGUGGCCAUUGACAACAAAAUCAUCUAAAUUAUCCGAGCUUAUUAAAAAAAGAGAGAUUCCACAAGAUAAUUGGAAAACAAUUAGUGUCAAAAUUUUAGGACAAUAUGACGACUAUAAAACAGCUCAAAGAAAAUGCAAAAGAGCAUUGGAUAGAGAUAAUCUCUCAUCACUAUCUGAAUGUACUGAAUAUGGAAAAGGACUUCGUGUACCGAAACGUAAAAGAAAAAAACAGUGAUACAGACAUAGAUACGGAAAGCAAGUCUAGCGAAGAGGAAUUGUCAUCCAUUAAUUUUCCGACAUACAGGGCAGAUAAUGCAGAUAAGACUGUAUUUUUAUCAAAUUUGGCACAUAAAGAUUCAGCUAAUAAAGCACAUAUCAAUAAAUCGAAUAAUAAUGUUAACCAAUUGAGCAAAACAAGCAGCAAAAUUCUGACAAUAUUUUAAUUGAAAUCCAUACGAAUUUUCAAAAACAUGCGAAUGAAAUGAAAGAAUUUCAACGCCAAGUUCUGAGACAUCUACAUAGCAUUAAUGGCCGAAUGGGGGAAUUAAAUGAGCUCGUAGAAUCAUUAAAGCAGUCUAAUUUUACCAUUGAUCAAGAUAAUGCCAAUCAAAAUAUCACUAAUGAAGUCUCAUUACAAUGCAUUGAAAGUUUGCCAGUAAAAUCAAACAUCGAGCUUCAAAAUAUUGAGAGAAUCUUACAAGAUAAACAAAUAUUCCAUGAUGUAGCUAUGGAAUUAUCGAAAAUAGGUGGUAAUAAUCUUAAAAUCAUUGUCAAGAAAGUGAUGUGUCGAAUUUUAACACCGGAAAUUGGAAGAGAAUAUAGCUGGGAAGGACACAAGGGAAACCUGAUUUUUAAGGAUUUAAUCCUGGCAAAGUUAGUCCUUAAAUCCGUAAGACUCACCACAAAAAAAGUCAGGAAAAUAUAACAGAAAAUGAUAUUAUCAACGCCAUUAAAACUUGGUUGGUGAAAGCCAAAUUAAAAACAAAACAACCAGUACAGCAGAAUGAAGCCAAUCGUUCAACAUAUGAUAGCGAACAUUAAAAAUAUUCAAUGUUUCUUGAAGUAUCUGCCUUUAAGUACAAAUUUAAUAUUGAUAUUUAUUCUGAAGGCCUGCAUAUAAUUGAAUAAUAUAUUGCAUUUAUGAUAGUUAUUAAGUACUAAAUUUAAGCAAAAUACCAAAGAUGCAACCUUAAAGCAAAUAUAGUUUUUUUAUGUUUUUAUAUAAUAUACUUCGAUAAGAUUUUAUUAA